AUGUAGACAUUGUUUAAAACUUUUUUUAACAUGAUAAAUAAAUGUAUGCAGCAUUUGCUUUGCUAAAUUAUAAAUUCCUUGAGAGAAGAAGCUCUUUCCACAUGCCUGGAUUAAGACACGAUAGAAACUGGGUUGUAAUGGAAAGAAGAAAUUAACAUCACCUCAACCUAGAUUCAAGUCUUGCUUCCUUUAAUUAUUGUUUCAUACUUCCUAGCAGUGUGAAUUUGGAUCAUUUAGGUAAGCUUUUAGAACCUCAGCUUGUCCUUCCUAAGAUGAAAUAAUUAUAUCUACAUCAUAGGAUUGUGAUGGAAAUGGAAUGAAACCAUGUAUAUAAGACCUAAAACAAUGCCUAGAAUGUAAGAAAUGCUCAAUAAAUAGUAACAGUCAGUAGGGAACAUAACAUAUUUAUAGAAUAAAAUAGUGAAAGAACCCAGGUUAUUGGAUGGCAUUCUACCUGAUUACAUACCUGUGAAAGUAGACCUACACUUUUAUAAUCAUAAUUAAAGACUUUGCUUGGCAAGAUCUUUAUCUCAACGUUUCCAGAAAUACUCCAGCAAGAAACCCAAUCAUUCUGUAUAUAGUGAUAAAUACACCAGAUUUUCCAAGACCAUUCUCUUGAUAUAAAAUAUUCUGUUAGGACUGCCACACAAAUAUUCUUGUACUUUUUAAAAGACUGAGCAUUCGUUUAGAUUUUAUAUCCUAUUUUUUUCCCCUCAGAAAUGUGGUAAUUGCAUUUUUCAUCUGGAAAUUGAGGGUUUUGUGCCACCUCUAAAUUUAUUUUGGUCUCUGAGCAUACAUGGUUCUGAUAAUCACAGCAAAUAUAGAUUAAUAUUAAGAGCUACUUGACUUUGUUCUGAGUCACCUCUUCAUUCAUUGUAGGCUCUUUCUACAUUGGAAAAGCUUUGAGGAGAUUGUUAAUUGACCUUAUUUUCAAAUGAUGGGAGCUGGUGGGAGGGGUGCAGUGAUGAAUCAGGAGUUUAGUUAUUAUUGGCUGAUUUAAAUAAAGUGGCUGAACAUGUAUCUUUAAGGGACACUUUCAUAAAAGAUCAGUUUCUCUUUUGUUAAGCUCUGUUUCCUUUAUGUCUUCAGCAAUAGAAAAUAAGAUGUAAGUUGGUGCAAACAUGUUUCCCAGCCAUACCUGGACACAACCAAUAGCAACAAGGAAGCCUAAAUAAGUGACUUAUAUCCCUGUAUAUGGCAGUGUAUCUUGACAGACAGGAUUUUUUUUUUUCUUCACUUGCUGGAGGGCACAUAUCAGGCAGGAGCUUAGUUUUGCCGUCUGCUAGCUUUAUAUGGUGAGCACAGAGAUGCCAGGAAAUGCCCAGUGGUUGGCAAAGAGGAGUAUGAAACUAGUAUAGGGCAACACUAAAACUCUUUGUCCCUUUCUAAAAGAAGCACUCUGGGCAUUUGAAGUUUCUUUUAUAAAUGGCAUCAUGGACAUGUUAUGUCUAAUACCGAGAUUAAGUAAAUAGAAGUCUACUCAAGUUUAAGGAAGUUUGCUUCUGUAUGUGUCCUUCCAGGUUACUUUGUACGGGCAGUAACUACUAGCAAUUCACGACGCACUUGUUUUCUAUAAUCUUGGCAGAAUUCACCCGGAUUUUACUUUUCUACAGUUUACAAAGUAUCAAAACUCGGUGUUGAUUUAUCACGCAGAGAUUUCCAAAAAGGGAAUAGACACAUAUUUUCUCCGUACGAGUAUACAGUGAUUCUAUUCUAUUUUUGCCUCUUUCCAGCUUUGAAAAUGCUCGAACGGUGUUAUAUUUGAACUAGAAAAAAAAGAGUCUUGUAUUUCACUUAACUAGCUGGCUUUAAUUAGACAGCCUCCUGGGAUCUGAACCCCAGCGAUUUUUGUUGUUGUUAAGAAUGGCAGUAAAAGGCUAACCCAGACGUCCCAGGUCACAUGAGAGAGGGCAGACUGGGGAGCCUUCAUUCAAAUAACUCAAAGGUACAUUUGUUGACUUUUGGCUUUCUAGAGUUUCUAGCUUACAAAAUUCUGUUUCCUUGGUAUAGGCUGGUUGUCUAAAAUGAGGCUACAACAUGAUACACUGAGACAGUACUGCCUUUGGUGGAUACGCUGAGCAGAAAGUCCAUGUAAAGCAAUUUGAGUCUGAUAAUCAUUACUCUCUACACGGAUGAGAAAGAAAAACAACCUUGGAGAUUCUUGGCCUGCUGUGGCUCAGAGACAGCCUGACUCAACAUUUAUAAACACAGCUAUACUUGGGGAUGUGCUUGGCAAGGCUGAAAAACAGGGAACGCAAGCCCUACUAUUCCUUGAAGUUUUAAAAUGGAGAACUAUUGAAAACAUAGUAGAACAUGGAGAAUCCCAGGACCACUGAGCUUCUGGCUGUAUUGGCAGAUCUAAAGAAUGAUGGAACUAAAAACAAUGAAGUGGAAAGGAUAUUUUGAUUUCACUAUAAAACACUAAAAGAAUUGAACUUUAAAAUAUCCUAACUGUGCAAAUGGAGACACCUGUUUGUGAAAAUGAAGUGAAGACAAAAACCAGCCCCUGAUGAUGGUUAGAAGGUACCUUAGUUGGUUAGAGCCACUGUUGGUUUUAAGUCUUAGGUAAAGGAGAAAGAAACUGGAGAAAAAUAAGUUUUAAUGCCUCUAAGGCUAUAUAACCCAAGAGGCUAAAAACCAUGGUGGAGGGGCUGUCUGUAAAAGGAAGAGAGUGGAUGGCCCAUUACAGGCUUUAUAGCUAUCUCUUCUGACCAUUGUGAUGUCUACCCACACAUGUCGACUGUGAUGAUAAACAUCAGCCUCAUCAUGAGUAAAUGAAACUUUGAAGCAAAAAAGAAUUUUUUUUUCUUAAUUCUUCCUUUCCCCCUUCAGAAUAGAGGUUUUUUUUGUUUUGUUUUUGUUUUUGUUUAUGAGUGUUUGGUGUGGUGCCAGUUGUAAGACAGAUAGCCAGAAGUAUUGCAGGACAUUGAUACCAGGGUGAGGAAUGAAUUAAAGAAAACUGUAUAAACUUAGAAAUCUUGCCUAGGAAAAGUUUAGAUGAUACUAUUCGGUGUUCUUGGCUAGCCAGCAUUUUCCUAACAGUUGGUGCCAUACACCUGUUCCUCUCAUAAAAAGUCAUAAUUAAUUUUUUUCUUCAGCCUUUUAAACAAAUACUUCUAAAACAAAUAUGUAAAAAGAUUUCUCUUAGUCACAGCUUAAAAAAUUUGAUGAAGACUAUUGACUCUUAAGUGUACAAAUUCAUGCCUACAUAAAAUUCUGCAUAAACUUUGGGGAUUGUGGAUACCAUAAUCUAACAAUCUGAUUUUUCAACUUGUUCGAUUAAUCUAACAAGUUAAGAAAUUCCAACCCUGGAUAAAAAGACAGUUUUCCUUAUCCUAUUUUUAUUUAAUACGAUUGCUGUUGUUGUUGUUUAAACACACUUGUUUUGAAAGUGAUACUUUUUUACUGUCUCUGUGGGGUUUUUUUUAAUGUUUUAUUUAUUUUUGAGGGAGCGCAAGUCAGGGAGGGGCAGAGAGAGGGGACAGAGGAUCUGAAGUGGGCUCUGUGCCGACAACAGAGAGCCUGAUGUGGGGCUUGAACUUAUGAACUACAAGAUCAUGACCUGAGCCGAAGUUGGACGCUCAACCAACUGAGCCACCCAGAUGCCCCCUUUACUGUAUACAGUUUUAAAAUCU